AAUAAAUAUGUUUUACAUAUAAAUUUUUCAGUUAGUUUGAACCAUAUUAUUUAUAUAUUUUUAGAA
rnacentral:tRNA from 1 species